rnacentral:rRNA from 1 species
AAGUCGUAACAAGGUUUCCGUAGGUACAAAUAGGUUUGCCUGCCGACACCUCCCGCAACGACGUUAAAAAACUGCGCGGUCUACGCCCUAUUGGCGUGGGCAACACCGUUCAAGUGCUGAGAAUACCCGGCGAGAGCCCCGCACAACCAGCAGCCAGCAGUUAGUUACUGCCUGGUCCACAGAUCAAUCGACGGUGACCGUUAUCGGCUAAGUUAUGACCGGUCCAGAGCCCCAACGGGCCCUGGAGCCAUGGAACCUGCGGAAGGAUCAUUACCGAGAGACGGGGUCUAACCGGCCUCAAUUCUUCAUCCGUGUCUACAUACCAAUGUUGCUUUGGCGAGCCUCGGGCUUUUUCCGGGGAGUUGACGCUCCUUCGCCCGCCAAAGACCCAUAUAAAACCUGUUAUCAGUGUCGUCCGAGUAAACAUAUAAUGAUUAAAACUUUCAACAACGGAUCUCUUGGUUCUGGCAUCGAUGAAGAACGCAGCGAAAUGCGAUAAGUAAUGUGAAUUGCAGAAUUCCGUGAAUCAUCGAAUCUUUGAACGCACAUUGCGCCCUUUGGUAUUCCGAAGGGCAUGCCUGUUCGAGCGUCAUUGCAACCCUCAAGCACUGCUUGGUAUUGGGCCUCGUCCCCGCGACGUGCCCGCAAUUUCGUGGCGGUCCGGUGAGACUUGAAGCGUAGCAAGAUUUAUAUCCCGCUUUGCAAGCCUCUCGCUGCGUGCCGGCCAAACAACCAUUAUAUUUUUCAAUGGUUGA